rnacentral:tRNA from 1 species
GGGGUUGUGGCUCAGUGGUCCAGCGCUUGCCUAGCAUGUGUGAGGUACUGGGUUCAAUUACCAGCACCACA